UACGAAGGGGGCUAGCGUUGUUCGGAUUUACUGGGCGUAAAGCGCACGUAGGCGGAUCGUUAAGUCGGGGGUGAAAUCCUGGAGCUCAACUCCAGAACUGCCUUCGAUACUGGCGAUCUCGAGUCCGGAAGAGGUGAGUGGAACUCCUAGUGUAGAGGUGGAAUUCGUAGAUAUUCGCAAGAACGCCAGUGGCGAAGGCGGCUCACUGGCCCGGUACUGACGCUGAGGUGCGAAAGCGUGGGGAGCAAACAGG
rnacentral:rRNA from 1 species